rnacentral:rRNA from 1 species
AACCCGCCAUCGAAUGAGGCAAGACUACCCGCUGAACUUAAGCAUAUCACUAAGCGGAGGAGAAGAAACUAACCAGGAUGCCCCUAGUAAUGGCGAAUGAAGCGGGCUGAGCUCACGCUGCCAAUCUGGAGGCCUCGCGUAUGCAGCGCCCCCCGAAUUGUGGUCUAGAGAGGCGUUAUCGGCCGCGCCCGCCGCUCAAGUCCCUUGGAACAGGGUGUCGGAGAGGGUGAGAAUCCCGUACCGUGGCGGGUUGCGGCCUUACGAUGCGUCCUCGUCGAGUCGGGUUGCUUGGGAUUGCAGCUUGAAUUGGGUGGUAAAUUCCAUCUAAAGCUAAAUACUGGCGAGAGACCGAUAGCGAACAAGUACCGUGAGGGAAAGAUGCAAAGAACUUUGAAAAGAGAGUCAAAGAGUGCUUGAAAUCGGUAGGAGGAAACCCGGAUGGGCCCGGCUUCGGCGCGCCGACUCAGCCUGGGGUUCUCCCCAGGUGCACUUCUGCGCGCCGGGUCAGCCGCGCCUCGGCGCCGCGCCUCAACCCGGGAGCGGGGCUUUACGGCCAGCUCCCGUCCUGGCGCGGCCCGGGGCCCGGCUGACGGAACGGGCCCCUCCGACCCGUCUAGAAACACGGACCAAGGAGUCUGACACGUGUGCGAGUACCCGGGUGGCAAGCCCGCGUGCGGAAUGAAAGUGAAGGGCAUGCCCUGCCAACCGACCUUGACCUGCUGUGAGGGGUUUGAGUGGAGCACACCUGUCGGGACCCGAAAGAUGGUGAACUAUGCCUGGGUAGGGUGAAGCCAGAGGAAACUCUGGUGGAGGCUCGUAGCGAUACUGACGUGCAAAUCGUUCGUCGAAUCUGGGUAUAGGGGCGAAAGACUAAUCGAACCAUCUAGUAGCUGGUUCCCUCCGAAGUUUCCCUCAGGAUAGCUUGAACGCAACGGUUUUGUCAGGUAAAGCGAAUGAUUAGAGGCCUGUGGGCUGAAACAGCUUGCACCUAUUCUCAAACUUUAAAUGGGCAAGAGGCCCGGGAUGCUUGAGUGAUCCCGGGCGGCGAACGGCGCGUUCAAAGUGGGCCAUUUUUGGUAAGCAGAACUGGCGAUGCGGGAUGAACCGAACGCCGCGCUAAGGUACCCAAGUGUCCGCUCAUCAGAUACCACAAAAGGCGUUGGUACCUCCAGACAGCAGGACGGUGGCCAUGGAAGUCGGAACCCGCUAAGGAGUGUGUAACAACUCACCUGCCGAAGGUACUAGCCCUGAAAAUGGAUGGCGCUCAAGCGGACCACCGAUGCGCGGCCGCCGGCGCGAGCGCGAGGCGCCGGCGAGUAGGAGGGCGCGGGGCUCGCGGCGCAGCCUUGGGCGCGAGCCUGGGUGAAGCGGGCCCCGGUGCAGAUCUUGGUGGUAGUAGCAAAUAUUCAAAUGAGAACUUUGAAGACUGAAGUGGAGAAAGGUUCCGUGUGAACAGCAGUUGGACACGGGUGAGCCGACCCUAAGAGACAGGAAAACUCCGCCGAACGCGGCUGGUUCUGUCAGCCCGUCCGUCGAAAGGGAAUCGGGUUAAUAUUCCCGAGCCAGCGCGUGGAUGGUGGGCGGCGACGCGAACGAACCCGGAGACGCCGGCGGGAGCCCUGGGAAGAGUUCUCUUUUCUUCUUAACUGCCUCCUGCCCUGGAAUCGGUUUAGCCGGAGCGAGGGCUACACGGCAGGCAAAGCACCCUAAGUCUUGGGGUGUCCGGCGCGCUCCCGACGGCCCGUGAAAAUCCGGGGGAGCGGUUCGUUCUCACGCCUGGUCGUACUCAUAACCGCAUCAGGUCUCCAAGGUGAACAGCCUCUAGUCGAUAGAGCAAUGUAGGUAAGGGAAGUCGGCAAAAUGGUUCCGCAACCUCGGGAGAAGGAAUGGCUCUGAAGGCUGGGCGCAGGGGUCCUAGGCUCGAGGCCGGCUGGCUGCGCGGGGACUACGGCCUCACGGCUGCGGAUCCCGCGCGGCCGUCCGGCGGACGGCCUAGGAGCGCUCCGGCUCUCCCUGCGCGACGAACAGCCGCUUCAGAACUGGCGCGGACAAGGGGAAUCCGACUGUUUAAUUAAAACAAAGCAUUGCGAUGGCCCGCGAGGGUGCUGACGCAAUGUGAUUUCUGCCCAGUGCUCUGAAUGUCAAAGUGAAGAAAUUCAACCAAGCGCGGGUAAACGGCGGGAGUAACUAUGACUCUCUUAAGGUAGCCAAAUGCCUCGUCAUCCAAUUAGUGACGCGCAUGAAUGGAUUCGUGAGAUUCCCACUGUCCCUAUCUACUGUCUAGCGAAACCACAGCCAAGGGAACGGGCUUGGAAGAAUCAGCGGGGAAAGAAGACCCUGUUGAGCUUGACUCUAGUCUGUUACUGUGGAACGACUUGAUGGGUGUAGAAUAUGCGGGAGGGGCAACCCGACAGUGAAAUACCGCAACCGUCAACGUUGUUUUACUUACUCGGUGGCGCGGAGGGAGGCUCGCCUCACUUCUGGAUCCAAGCCGCUUCGUGCGCGCGAUCCGCGUCGGGGACACUAACAGGUGGGGAGUUUGGCUGGGGCGGCACGUCUGUUAAAAAAUAACGCAGGCGCCCGAUUUUGAGCUCAAUGAGAACAGAAAUCUCAUGUGGACCGAAAGGGGAAAAGCUCGGUUGAUUUUGAUUUUCAGUACGAAUACAAACCGCGAAAGCGUGGCCUAUCGAUCCUCUCGUCUUUGGGAAUUUCAAGCUAGAGGUGUCAGAAAAGUUACCACAGGGAUAACUGGCUUGUGGCUGCCAAGCGUUCAUAGCGACGUAGCUUUUUGAUCCUUCGAUGUCGGCUCUUCCUAUCACUGCCUCGCAGCGGGGGCCAAAUGCAGGAUUGUUCACCCACCAACAGGGAACGUGAGCUGGGUUUAGACCGUCGUGAGACAGGUUAGUUUUACCCUACUGCUGUCUGUUUUUCUACGGUAAUUUGGUUCAGUACGAGAGGAACCACCAAUUCGCAUCAUCGGUAUAGCCGCCGCCGGAAACGGCGAUGCGGCGAAGCUGCCAUGCGCCGGAUUAUAACUGAACGCCUCUAAGUUAGAAUCCAUGCCGGAAGGAAGCCACCUACCGGCCCGGGACGCCACGAGCAACGGUGCCGCAGCACUGCCUGAGCCGCGAGCGACCACAAUUCACGGACCCGGGCCGACGAAUCCCUUGCAGACGACUUGAAUAAGGAACGGGGUAUUGUACGCGGCAGAGUGGCCUUGUUGCCACGAUCCGCUGAG